rfam:Trichosporon oleaginosus strain IBC0246 unplaced genomic scaffold CC85scaffold_24, whole genome shotgun sequence.
GGUUGGAUCGUAUAGUGGUUAGUACCCAAGAUUCUGAUUCUUGUAGCCUGGGUUCGAUUCCCAGUCCGACCU